UACGGGAGGCAGCAGUGGGGAAUAUUGCACAAUGGGCGAAAGCCUGAUGCAGCGACNCCGCGUGAGGGAUGACGGCCUUCGGGUUGUAAAUCUCUUUCAGCGGGGACGAAGGGCAACUGACGGUACCCGCAGAAGAAGCACCGGCUAACUACGUGCCAGCAGCCGCGGUAAUACGUAGGGUGCGAGCGUUGUCCGGAAUUAUUGGGCGUAAAGAGCUCGUAGGCGGUUUGUUGCGUCGGCUGUGAAAACUUCACGCUUAACGUGGAGCCUGCAGUCGAUACGGGCAGACUUGAGUUCGGCAGGGGAGACUGGAAUUCCUGGUGUAGCGGUGAAAUGCGCAGAUAUCAGGAGGAACACCGGUGGCGAAGGCGGGUCUCUGGGCCGAUACUGACGCUGAGGAGCGAAAGCGUGGGGAGCGAACAGGAUUAGAUACCCUGGUAGUCCACGCCGUAAACGGUGGGUGCUAGGUGUGGGGGACUUCCACGUCCUCCGUGCCGCAGCUAACGCAUUAAGCACCCCGCCUGGGGAGUACGGCCGCAAGGCUAAAACUCAAAGGAAUUGACGGAAUCGAAUUCCCGCGGCC
rnacentral:rRNA from 1 species